rnacentral:rRNA from 1 species
AUGGCUGCAUCCGCUGUUGGCACCGUUCUUGGGAAUGUGGGCAAUCUUGCUGUUCGGGAGACCAAUUUAUUAUGCGGGGUCACCCUUGAAGUUACUUUCUUGAAAGAAGAGCUGAUGCGGCUGCAGGGCUACCUCAAAGAUGCCGACAGCAAACGGACAUCCGGAAACGCAAGUGUUGCUAUCUUGAUGAGUCAGAUCAGGGAUGCUGCAUAUGAGGCUGAGAAUGUCAUCGAAGCUGCAGAUUACAUGAAGAAGAGAAACAUGAUCAAGAAGGGCUUCAUGGGUGCAAUUUCAAGGUAUGCUCGCUUACCGAGUGACUUGACUACACUUCAUAAAAUUGGUGUUGAAAUUCAGCGUGUAAGAAGGAAGCUCAAUGAGAUAUUUCAGAGUGCAGAGCGGUUGAAAAUUGACUUUAGUACUCAUGUUGUAGAUGAGCAUCUAGAAGAUUGUGGACUUAUGUACCAAGACUUUAAGGAUGAUGUUGUCAUGGUUGGCUUCCAGAACGAGUACAAAGAAAUAGUAGAUAGAUUAGUUCAGGGAGGAAAUAUCCUUAGUGUUGUCUCCAUAGUUGCCAUGGGUGCGGCAGGAAAAACAACACUUGCUAGAAAAGUAUACAAUUCAUCUGAAGUCAAACAACACUUUGGGGCACUUAUUUGGGUAACUGUAUCCCAAAAGUUCAAGGUCAUUGAUUUAUUAAUGGAAAUUCUGAAACAAAUAUCAAAUGAAGGAGAUCAAUCUAGAAAAAUGGAUGGCAUGAAUGAGUAUGAGGUGGGAAACAAGAUCCAUCAUAUCCUCAUGAAAAAAAGAUACUUGGUAGUUCUCGAUGAUGUGUGGGAAACAGACACAUGGGAGCAACUAAAUAGGACAAUUAAAGCAUUUCCAGAUGCAGCUAACUGUAGUAGAGUACUAUUGACCACAAGAAAAGAAGAUGUUGCUAAUCAUGUUGAAAUGCCAACCCGUGUUCAUGCUUUGAAGUGUUUAGAUGAAGAGAAAAGUUGGGUACUUUUCAGUAGCAAAGCUUUACCAUCGUACAAAAGGUCAGACAUACAUGAUUUGGAUAAGUUUGAAAAACUAGGGAGGAAACUUGCAAAGAAAUGUCAAGGAUUACCACUUGCACUUGCAGUUUUAGGGGGUUAUCGAUCAAAAAAUCUCAACAUGCAAGCAUGGUCUGAUGUACUAUUGGGUUGGCCAGCAACCAAAGAUACGCAGAUGAUGCGAGACAUGAUAGCUCGCAGUUACAAAGACCUACCGCAUCAUUAUUUAAGAUCAUGUUUUCUCCACUUUGCUGCUUUUCCUGAGGAUUUUGUAAUAUCCAUGUCCGAUGUUAUGAAUUUAUGGAUAGCAGAGAGCUUCAUUCCUCACACACGAAAGCACACACUAGAAGAAACAGCACGCAAGUAUGUAACUGAAUUGGUCCAAAGAAAUUUAGUCCAAGUUUUCAAAACAAGCAAUAAAUAUGGAUGGAUAGAGAAUAUAAAGAUUCACGAUAUCAUACGUGACUGGUGCGUAGAAGAAGCAAUACAAGAUGGUUUUCUUGAUGUCAUCGAUGAAACUACUACUGGACAAGUUGGUGCACCAUCAUCUCUCCUACCGGGGUAA